AGUCUUUUAUGCAAUGAUCAUUAUCGAACUGUGUAUCAGAACAGACUAACUGAUGAAGCUAAGAUUUUAAAAAACCUUAAUCACCCAAACAUUAUAGGAUAUCGUGCUUUUACUGAAGCCAGUGAUGGUAGUGAGUGCCUUGCUAUGGAGUAUGGAGGUGAAAAGUCUCUGAAUGACUUAAUAGAAGAGCGGAACAAAGACAGUGGAAGUCCUUUUCCAGCAGCUAUAAUUCUCAGAGUUGCUUUGCACAUGGCCAGAGGGCUAAAGUAUCUGCACCAAGAAAAGAAGCUGCUUCAUGGAGACAUAAAGUCUUCAAAUGUUGUAAUUAAAGGUGGUUUUGAAACAAUUAAAAUCUGUGAUGUUGGAGUCUCUCUGCCAUUGGAUGAAAAUAUGACUGUGACUGAUCCUGAGGCCUGUUAUAUUGGUACUGAGCCAUGGAAACCCAAGGAAGCCUUGGAAGAAAAUGGCAUCAUUACUGACAAGGCAGAUGUGUUUGCUUUUGGCCUUACUCUGUGGGAAAUGAUUACUUUAUGUAUUCCACACAUCAAUCUUCCAGAUGAUGAUGUUGAUGAAGAUGCAACCUUUGAUGAGAGUGACUUCGAUGAUGAAGCAUAUUAUGCAGCUCUGGGGACAAGGCCAUCCAUCAACAUGGAAGAACUGGAUGACUCCUACAAGAAGGUCAUUGAACCCUUCUGUGUGUGUACUAAUGAGGAUCCUAAAGAUCGCCCGUCUGCUGCACACAUCGUUAAAGCUUUGGAACUAGAUGGCCAAUGUUGUGGUCUAAGCUCAAAGCAUUAACUUGUAUGGAGACUGUUAACUAGAUAUAUUUAUGUAGUUAAUAUAACUUAUAGUAGCUAGAUUCUAGAAGUAGCUUAAACACUAGUGACCCCUGUCUAAGAUGACUUAAGAAUCAAGGGACCAUUGCUUUGUUACAGAUCUUUUUAGAUAUUCUUGCUUCUUUAAUGGGUUACUAAAAAUGUCACUACAUGUGGUACAGUUAUCUGUCUGCUCAUAGUGUCCAUCCUUCAGCUGGCCUGUCAGCCCAUGUGCCCUGGAACUUGAGAAGAGUUCAUAAAUGUAGCUCCUAGGCUGUCUUGCCUCUCCACAUUUAGCAUCUAAUUUAUUACUUUGUUUCUACUGAUUGUGUCUUAAGUCUUUUAAAAUAAAUGUAAGAAUAAACAAUAAAAGACAGUUUUAGUACCAGG